GACGAACGCUGGCGGCGUGCUUAACACAUGCAAGUCGAACGGCAAGGCCCUGCUUGCAGGGUGCUCGCGUGGCGAACGGGUGAGUAACACGUGGGUGAUCUGCCCUGCACUUCGGGAUAAGCCUGGGAAACUGGGUCUAAUACCGGAUAGGAGCCAUUUUUAGAGAGAUGGUUGGAUAGUUUUUUCGGUGUAGGAUGAGCUCGCGGCCUAUCAGCUUGUUGGUGGGGUAAUGGGCUACCAAGGCGGCGACGGGUAGCCGGCCUGUGAGGGUGGACGGCCACAUUGGGACUGAGAUGCGGCCCAGACUCCUACGGGAGGCAGCAGGGGGGAAUAUUGCACAAUGGGCGCAAGCCUGAUGCAGCGGCGCCGCGUGGGGGAUGACGGCCUUCGGGUUGUAAACUCCCUUCGCUAGGGACGAAGCUUUUUGUGACGGUACCUAGAUAAGAAGCACCGGCUAACUACGUG
rnacentral:rRNA from 1 species